UUUAUAUAAACUAGGUGAUGAUGUCAGCUUUAAUUAAACUGAAUCGGUAAAAUGGGUUACUCGACUAUCUUGCUCCUCGUUGGCAUUUAUUUGAUAUCUAGCACAGAAUGCUUCUCAACGUACCGUCAUCAUCCUUAUGAGAACAAACCAGAAUCAAGUAUUACAUCAUGUGAUGAGUUAAAGACGCUACUGAACUUAGCACGCUUACUGGAUGACCAGGAAAAACCAAAAGCGAACGUUUUCAACCCUGAAGAUUUAAUAAUGAAGCUAGUCAACGCGUUGGUGGUAACGUCCACAAAUAAAUGUGCAGACAAUAACAAUUUACACACUGGCAACUCUGGAUCGCAAAAUGUCAGCGGAAGUAACUCGGGAACACAAAAUUCAAGAGGAAGUCGUGAUGGAAUAUUCAACGCUGACUUCUUUAACCCUAAUAAUCCAAACAACGUAGCUCAGUUUGAUAUUGGCAAGCAACCCGUUGUUGGGGUUGGUGUUGGUGAUACCACUAAUGGUAUAAUUGGUGGGGCAGUUAAGGAUUUUGCAUAAUUUUGUAGAACUCACAUUAAAUCAUAUUAUGAGAAUUGAAA